AUGCUGGAUGAGGAGGACACUGACAAAGACGGGAUGAGUUUGGAGGUCGACACUCCAGUGACGAACCAUCGGGGUGACGACGACGAUGACGAAGAAGAUCUCCCCGAGAUAGUGCUGGAUGACGUGCCUGCGGUGAGGGUGGCGGGACGGCCUCCAUUCGCUCCGCGGGUGGCCUUCAUGGUGAACAAAACACAUGACCCCGAGUACCCGAGGCGGAAGGUGUCCGGCAUCAGUGCUCAGAAAGUUGUUCCACCUUCCACCAAGAUGCUGGAUGAGGAGGACACUGACAAAGACGGGAUGAGUUUGGAGGUCGACACUCCAGUGACGAACCAUCGGGGUGACGACGACGAUGACGAAGAAGAUCUCCCCGAGAUAGUGCUGGAUGACGUGCCUGCGGUGAGGGUGGCGGGACGGCCUCCAUUCGCUCCGCGGGUGGCCUUCAUGGUGAACAAAACACGUAUGUAUGCUGGAAGCACUCAUCUGGGGGAGGGGCCCCUUAGAAGGUGAGGCAGGUGGCGCAGUCUUGCUGGGUUUAUUUAUUUGUUUUUAAUUGUUGUUUCCCCAGGGCAGGUUUUGUUUUUUUCCCCUUUCUUCCGGCCGUAGGGCAUGGUGACCCGGUUACACAUACAUGCACACGUUCUAUUUUCGCACAUUAUCAUGCUCCAUCAUAAGUGACUGGACAUAGCUCCCCAGGGCUACACAGCAGGCUCUCACUGCCCAUCCAUUCCAAAGGCAAGAGUUUGUAUCUAUUAACCCCAAGCUCCCCAGCCGCCC
rnacentral:lncRNA from 9 species